GACUUUGAACCGCAGGUGGGGAGGGAAGGGUGGGCUCCCAGGCUGGCAAUGCCGGGGGGCGGGGCUUGAAGUUGGGGGGGGGUCAGCGGCAGAGGGGGCGUGGCCAAGGAGGUAAUGGGCUUGGGAAGGGGCGGUGUGUCGCAAGUAGGGUGGCGUUUUCCUUCCCGAGUGGAAAGCUUGAGUGAGAGAGGACAUCGAGGUCCCGCUGGACCUGCAAUCCGACCAACUCUUUGCAGAUUUUCUGCCGCUUAAGUGUGAUGCCUGCUCAGGCAUCUUCUGCGCAGACCAUGUGGCCUACGCCCAGCAUCACUGUGGAUCUGCUUACCAAAAGGAUAUCCAGGUACCUGUGUGCCCUCUCUGUAAUGUGCCUGUGCCUGUGGCCAGAGGGGAGCCCCCUGACCGUGCUGUGGGAGAGCACAUUGACAGAGACUGUCGCUCUGAUCCAGCACAGCAAAAACGUAAGAUCUUCACCAAUAAGUGCGAGCGCGCUGGCUGCCGGCAGCGAGAAAUGAUGAAACUGACCUGUGAACGCUGUAGCCGAAACUUCUGCAUCAAGCACCGGCACCCACUGGACCAUGAUUGCUCUGGGGAGGGGCACCCAACCAGCCGGGCAGGACUUGCUGCCAUCUCCAGAGCACAAGCUGUGGCUUCUACAAGCACCGUCCCCAGCCCAAGUCGAACCAUGCCUUCCUGUCCCUCUCCCAGCAGGUAGGCCUGCCCGUUUCCCUGCUCCCCCUUUUUCCCCUUCACACCUCUGACCUCCACCUCUUCAAUGUCUGUCGUAGAGCCACAACCCGAUCUCCGUCCUGGACAGCCCCUCCAGUGAUUGCUUUGCAGAAUGGCCUGAGUGAGGAUGAAGCUCUGCAGCGGGCCCUGGAAAUGUCCCUGGCAGAGACCAAACCCCAGGUUCCAAGGUACCUUACCCUCUUGUGAAAGAGAGCGCAAGCUGUGGGCAAGGGCUUGGUCUGGAGGCAGGUAGGUGGGACCACUCUGACACAAUGCAAGAUAAUCGCUGGCAACUUGGUCUCAAAAGUAAGAUGAGCUAUAUGAUCUUUGACAAGUUAUUUAACCCAUGGAGCCUUCACUUCCUCUAUAAAACGGGGACAAUACUAACACCCACCUUGUAGUGUUGCUAUGAAGAUUGAGAUAAUCCUCAGCAGUGCUCGGCACCAUGAGGCCCGACACACACUGAUCAGAUGUCCAAAUUUCAGAUCUUACCAUCAUCCAACUUAAACCGUUUCUCCCUCCCAGUUGUCAGGAGGAAGAAGACCUAGCUUUAGCACAAGCACUGUCAGCCAGUGAGGCAGAAUACCAGCGGCAGCAGGUAUGAGCCUGGGGUGAAGAUGUGUGCUGCAGUGGGAGGGAGGCAGAAGUCAGGGAUGGGGGUUCUUCCGAGUGGUGCAGGGUUUUGGAAUGGUGGUUGUCGUUUGGUUUUCAGUAUGACUCCAGCCCGUGCUGAGCUCUGAAAUGAGGGCUGUCCCUCAUUUCCUUGACAUUGCACCGUGUCUUCCCCUCCUUCCCCUCUCCUUGCUCCAGGCCCAGAGCCGCAGCUCGAAGCCGUCCAACUGCAGCCUGUGCUAGGGCCCUGGGCUUGGGGAGGGAGAUUCACCUGAGGAGGACUGUGGCCCUCACACCUCUAGGGUACACAGGGAGAGGAGGCCCGGAGCAGCCUGGAGGGCAGAGACAAACAGGAGUGAUGUGGAGGUCGCCCUGGGAGCCUCUGGAAGGCCUUGCUAGUGCUCCAGCUGCAUGGAAGAGAGCGACUAGCAACUGUUCCCUGGUUGGGCCCUCAGUGGAUGCUGGCCAGGCCCUACUCUCAGCCCCUUCAUCAUGUGAUCUCCCUGAUGCUGGAGCUGCCCCGAUGUGGAGUGGGCAGGAAGGGGCCUGGAAAAAAUAAAGGAUCUUGGCAGUUGAUAAAACGU
rnacentral:sRNA from 1 species